GGGAGCGGAGGAUGCUGCUGGCGGAGCCGAGCGGACAGAGGCAGCACGCUGGCAGGGAGACAGACGGCGGAGCUGGGCGCGGAGCAAGAAGCCUCAGCGUCCGCCAGGGAAGCCCGGUGGGGAGAACCACGGGUCUGGGCUCAGGGAGCCGACGAUGGCCGGAGGGGCACGGCGGGGAGAAGGAGGUCGUCUCCACAGUCUCGGGCGAAGACCAGGCUGCGCUGGAGCGUUCAGGCCCUGUUGGGAACUGGGUGAAGAGAGCGGAGCAGGCGGCCACUGGCUCUGCCCAGAGCCUGGCAGGGAAAGGACAACUCCUACCAGGUGGUGGGAACAGGAGUGAUUAACUCCUAGCCUGCUGGUCCCUGGGAGAAGUAGCCGGAGGGACAGAGGACAAUUCCUUCUCCCAUCCCAGAGUGGCAGAGGGGUCCUGGGGAGCCGGAGUCCCUCCUACUUCAUCGGCAGAUGCCCAACGUCUUCACCUUGAGCGAAGAACCUUCUAAGUUAUCGUUACCUCAGGCGGGGGUCAUGUUUAGUUAUCCGCGGGUUGGUCCGAAGACAAAGGAUCAAUUCAGGAGCGAUUGACGGCUGAGCAUACCUGACCCCACUCGGGGCAGGCCUGACAGGGGAGAAGAAAUCAUUCCAGGGAAGAUUAGAGGGAACAGAGCCCUCCCAGGCCAUGGAGGUGGUAAGACUGGGGCAAAGGGGAGGUUUGGAGCCCCACGAAGAAAGACCAGGGCCACAACCUCUCUGGGACCACCUACAGGGAACUGCCUCCCCAUCUAUCAACAUCGAAGUCAUGGCAGAAGCAGCCAGGAAAAAGAUAAGAAACCUUCUGUUUACAAUCUGCACUAAUGACCUUAGUGCUAAUCCUUGGACUAAGCAAAAGGAGGAUGGCAACUUGACUGGGGAUAUAGACACAAAGCAAUAGCCGAAAUGCCACAGAUACAAAUGAACAUCUAGCAGAUGGGACCAUUUCUGUAGCAACCAAUAUAUGUUCUUUGGCAGAAUGUGCAGCUCCAGAAUCAUAAUUCCCAAGAAGCUUUAUGUAUUUUGCAUAUCACUGAAUACUGAUGAGAUAUUAUUUAAUGCUAUUUACAUGGAACUUUUACCUUAACUGUAUUUCACACAUAAUAAAAGUACUCCAUAGCCCUCCUCUA